rnacentral:SRP_RNA from 2 species
CGUUGGCGCCUCCGCGACGAUAGGCCGAAAACCCCGCCAGGCCCGGAAGGGAGCAACGGUAUCGGCCGAUUCGGGUGCCGGAGUCACGCUGGCGGGG